rnacentral:rRNA from 1 species
CUAUUAGUGGGGGACAACAUUCCGAAAGGAAUGCUAAUACCGCAUACGUCCUACGGGAGAAAGCAGGGGAUCUUCGGACCUUGCGCUAAUAGAUGAGCCUAAGUCGGAUUAGCUAGUUGGUGGGGUAAAGGCCUACCAAGGCGACGAUCUGUAGCGGGUCUGAGAGGAUGAUCCGCCACACUGGGACUGAGACACGGCCCAGACUCCUACGGGAGGCAGCAGUGGGGAAUAUUGGACAAUGGGGGGAACCCUGAUCCAGCCAUGCCGCGUGUGUGAAGAAGGCCUUAUGGUUGUAAAGCACUUUAAGCGAGGAGGAGGCUACUGAGACUAAUACUCUUGGAUAGUGGACGUUACUCGCAGAAUAAGCACCGGCUAACUCUGUGCCAGCAGCCGCGGUAAUACAGAGGGUGCGAGCGUUAAUCGGAUUUACUGGGCGUAAAGCGUGCGUAGGCGGCUUUUUAAGUCGGAUGUGAAAUCCCCGAGCUUAACUUGGGAAUUGCAUUCGAUACUGGGAAGCUAGAGUAUGGGAGAGGAUGGUAGAAUUCCAGGUGUANCGGUGAAAUGCGUANAGAUCUGGAGGAAUACCGAUGG